rnacentral:tRNA from 1 species
GUCCCCGUAGCUUAACUGGAUAGAGCAUUUGGUUGCGGACCAAAAGGUUGGGAGUUCGACUCUCCCCGGGGACG